GGCGGGGGAUCUAUUAUAUUGAGUUUCCAUAGCUACCGAAAGCAUCACUCACACAGGAGAGAAUUUAUAGUUGGCGCGACGUGGGAGGCUUUUACUACCGUGGCUCUGCUGGCGGUGGGCAGCAGCUGGGAGCUCACGGAACCAGCAGCUCCUGCAGGAGUGUCAGGAUGUGCUGAAUGAACCCGACUUCACAAUGCGGCAGAGGGGAGUCGUUGGCUGGUCGCAGUCAGGCAGCCACAACAAGGCAGAACAUUCAGGUCCUUCAGGACAACAAGCCACGAGGUUCAGGUGUUAGUGGGACAUGAUCCACCAGAUGGAAGAUCCAAUCAUCGCCCAGAAACUAAAAGCAGAAGACAAGCAGCUGAACCCUGGUGACGCUCGCUCACUCGCUCACUCGCUCACUCGCUCACUCGCUCACGCUGAACCCGUCCUGCGCCCCAUCGACAGGUUGUCAGUUCAUCACAGCCAUAUCUGCACUCACACUGACGGCUCAUUUGAAUCUCCCAGCAGCCCCUGCUUUCCUUUGACUGUGGGAGGAGGUGAGAGCACCGAGGGAGAAGCCACGCACUUGUUUCACAUCACAGUGAUGGAGCUGGGUUCAAACACUACUUACAGCAUUACUCACUGUGCUGCCAGUGCAACCUCUACCACUGAUGCACAGCAGUGAUGCAAACACACCACCUGUAGGGUUGAAAAUGGAAAAUGACCAGCACAGUGUAAUAGAUUCAAGUCGUCUUCCUGGGGAAGAGAUUUAUUGUGUGCUCGCUUUCUUCUCCCCUCUGGCCUCAGGUGUCUGAUCUGGGUCACUGCAUCGGUGCAGCUCAGCUUGUUUGUACACAGCCAAGACAUUUGUCUGAUCGGCUGAGCACCGACGUGGACGCAAGCACUGAACAUGUCUCCUGAAAGACAGAACUCUUCUAAUCAGUCAGAUUAACCUGUGUGUGUGUGUGUGUGUGUGUGUGUGUGUGUGUGUGUGUGUGUGUGUGUGUGUGUGUGUGUGUGUGUGUGCGUGCGUGUGCGUGUGUGCGUGCGUGCGCGUGUGUGCGUGCGUGUGUGUGUGUGCGUGCCUGUCUGUGUGUAUGUGCGUGUGUGUGUGCGUGCAUGCAUGCGUGUGUGUGUGCAUGUGUACAUGCGCUUGCGUGUGUGUGUGCGUGUGUGCGUGCGUGUGUGUGCGUGCGUGUGCAUGUGUGUGCGUGUUGUGAGGUUCUUGGUGAGCCGUGGAGCGGGCGCUGGGCAGAACGUCCACCGUCCGUGUGGGGCCACGGGACGCCGUGCAGCCACAGACGCUGGUGAAGGGUGGAGACAAGGGUAUCAGGGCGGUGUAUUUAUAUCCCUUGUGUCUCACAGCUUACAGAGUGAUAGACAGGCAAACUGAAAGCUUCUGUCACACAAAAUUCUCCAUGGCAGCAUCUUGGCCGAGCCCCCACUCCUCCCCCAUAGGAGGAAACAAACCAGGGAAGGAUCUGCGGCGCAGAUGGGAAACGAAGGCAAAUGAAAAGUAUUGAAUAAAUUCAGAUCAAAGAACUGGGGCAGUUUUUCUCAAGGGGACACAAUAUGUCUGAAGUAAUAAUUUUUCAUGCUUAGCAAAUCCGUCACAAACCAUCCACUACUGUAUGAUGCUGCUGUGCUGUCGUCAUACAGUAGACUUGCUGCUUUAUUUAGCCCUAAACACACAAAGGGGAGAGUCUCCAUAGGGGAAAAGCAAGUGUGUGAAAAUAGCUGCAAAGUGAGUGUGAAGCAAGAGAUUUGAACACAACAAUGAUGCCCAGAAUGUUACUGAUGCGCUAGAGGCCAAAUACAGCAUGCAUCUGCCUCAGUGUGCGUUGGUGACCAGACACACACGCCCACGGAGGCACAACCACUGUGUUUAGCUGUCAAAAGAAAGAGGCAAAUGAAUAAACAAAGGCUGGCUACAAAGAGGUGAGCAUCAAGGUUCCGCCGUGCGAUAAAAGGCGAGAUCAAUAAAUCAUGGAAGA